rnacentral:rRNA from 1 species
CACCGAAGGCUCAAGUGGUAUCCACGAAUAUUGGGCUUAAAGAGUCCGUAGCUGGCCUGUUAAGUUCUCUGUGAAAUCUUCCAGCUUAACUGGAAGGCGUGCAGGGGGUACUGACAGGCAUGGGAGUGGGGGAGGUCAGGAGUACUCACGGGGUAGAGGUAAAAUUCUGUAAUCCUGUGAGGACUACCAGUGGCGAAGGCGCCUGACCAAAACAUGUCCGACAGUGAGGGACGAAGGCUAGGAGA